UUGGAGGGCAAGUCUGGUGCCAGCAGCCGCGGUAAUUCCGGCUCCAAUAGCGUAUAUUAAAGUUGUUGCAGUUAAAAAGCUCGUAGUUGAAUUUCGGGGUUAGUAAGUUGGUCAUGCCUUCGGUAUGUACUGGCUUUACUGAUUCCUCCCUCUUGACGAACCGUGAUGUCAUUAAUUUGGUGUUGCGGGAAAUCAGGACUGUUACUUUGAAAAAAUUAGAGUGUUUAAAGCAGGCUAACGCUUGAAUACAUUAGCAUGGAAUAAUGAAAUAGGACGUUAAUCCUAUUUUGUUGGUUUCUAGGAUCGACGUAAUGAUUAAUAGGGAUAGUUGGGGGCAUUAGUAUUCAAUUGUCAGAGGUGAAAUUCUUGGAUUUAUUGAAGACUAACUACUGCGAAAGCAUUUGCCAAGGAUGUUUUCAUUAAUCAAGAACGAAAGUUAGGGGAUCGAAGACGAUCAGAUACCGUCGUAGUCUUAACCAUAAACUAUGCCGACUAGGGAUCGGAUGAUGUUAUUUUUAAUGACUCAUUCGGCGCCUUACGGGAAAC
rnacentral:rRNA from 1 species